GUCUACGGCCAUACCACCCUGAACACGCCCGAUCUCGUCUGAUCUCGGAAGCUAAGCAGGGUCGGGCCUCGUUAGUACUUGGAUGGGAGACAGUGUAGUGAGUAUCAGACACCUGAGAAG
rnacentral:rRNA from 1 species